rnacentral:rRNA from 1 species
CAUGCAAGUCGAGCGGCAAGGGCCUUCGGGCCCCUAGAGCGGCGGACGGGUGAGUAACACGUGGACAAUCUGCCCCCCGGCCGGGGAUAGCCCAGGGAAACCUGGAUUAAUACCGGAUGAGACGGGACCCGCGAUGGCGGGAUCCGGGAAAGGCGCUACGGCGCCGCCGGGGGAUGAGUCUGCGUCCCAUUAGCUAGACGGCGGGGUAACGGCCCACCGUGGCGACGAUGGGUAGCCGGCCUGAGAGGGUGGACGGCCACAUUGGAACUGAGACACGGUCCAGACUCCUACGGGAGGCAGCAGCUAAGAAUCUUCCGCAAUGGGCGAAAGCCUGACGGAGCGACGCCGCGUGAACGAAGAAGGCCGUGAGGUUGUAAAGUUCUUUUCGGGAGGGGGAACAACCGUGGCAGGGAAUGGCCGCGGGAUGACGUGAAUCCCGGAAUAAGCCCCGGCUAACUACGUGCCAGCAGCCGCGGUAACACGUAGGGGGCGAGCGUUGUUCGGAAUCAUUGGGCGUAAAGGGCGUGCAGGCGGUCCUGCAAGUCCGGCGUGAAAGACCCCGGCCCAACCGGGGGGACGCGCUGGAAACUGCGGGGCUUGAGUACAGGAGGGGAUGCCGGAAUUCCAGGUGUAGGGGUGAAAUCUGUAGAUAUCUGGAAGAACACCAAUGGCGAAGGCAGGCAUCUGGCCAUGUACUGACGCUGAGACGCGAAGGUGCGGGGAGCAAACAGGUUUAGAUACCCUGGUAGUCCGCACAGUAAACGAUGUGCACCAGGUGGC